rnacentral:lncRNA from 1 species
AUGCACACUAACGGCCUGGACCAGAGCUACAACAUAGUUAGCUACAAGCAGGUCAGCGUUAAAUGGCACCUCCGUAAUACAGUAAUUCUUCAUUUCAGAUGGCAGUCCCCUUCAAAAUCCCCAAGAGAAAACAGCCAUCAGAAGCUGACAACAUGCACAUGCAGUCCCCUCUCUCACGUCUCCGGGAUACCUCCAGCCCAUUCGAGCACUCCUAACCGGCUAGUUCUGAGGGAUGUCUGUGAAGCGCGUCUUGGACCUGGACAAUCAGACAAAUGGACCUCCAGCCAGUCAACAGGCUUCCAGAGACCAGCUCAGACCCCAGAACACCAUCCAGUUGCCAGCCAGAGAGGGAAUUCCCCAGAGCACAGCAAAUGGAGAGAGACCCACAUGCCCAGCACACUGCGGAGAUCACCCGCUCGCUGUCAGCUAGCAGUCAACGGAACACCUAGGAAGCAGACGGAGUCUCUGACUCAUAAGAAGCCACCUCACAUCCAAUCAAGCCCUGUGACAUCAUCAACACACAAAGCUGAACAAAGACUCCCAGCAGCCUCUCCUCCCUGCUUCAAAAAUGGAUGGCGCCCUAAGAGGGCAUCAGACACACUGUGUCGGGACAAGAAUCAAGAGACUGGGUGUGUGUCGCCACUGCUCAAGACGCGCCGUGCAGAGUUCAGUGGAGAUUCCCAAAUGUCUGUGAGAUGCAGCCCAGUGGAGUCGGAGCAGGAUUCUGCAUCAGAACCAUCUCCAGAAAGAGAGGUGGACAGUUCCUCAAAGACGGACGACAGGCUCUCUGUCUCCCCAGGAGACUCAACAUGGAGGAAACAUGACUCUGGGAUGAAUGGAUCUCCUCCACAAAACACAGAGAAGGAGGGGAAGGGAGGCUCAGGAUCACUGCAGAACCAGAUCAAGGUGACUAGUGGUUCACCAGGGACGGGCCCCAGGGGAAGUGUCCCUGUCCCUGCAGGCCACCAAAGCCAGAGCCCAGAUAGUGACGACCCUCCCGACCGCCCCUUGAUGUCAUGGGCCAGAGGUGCAUCCACAGGGUCCCCGAAACACCCCCUCUCCGCUGUGGCUUCAGUGACCCAGGCCACACAGGAGAAGCAGUUUUCCUUUAGCAGGCCUCCCCUCCGGGCUAACCUCACAGACAGAGAGAGGAGGCCUCCCCUCCGGGCUAACCUCACAGACAGAGAGAGGAGGCCUCCAACCAAGUGUCUCUCCCUCCAUCUCAGGCUGAGGCGGCCCAAGCCCACUUCCACAGAACCUAUUGUGCUUUCCAGUGAGGAUGAGGACAUAGAUGAUGAAGAAGAGUGCCCCAGGCUGAAGACCCCACAACAGAGCCCCAGGCAAGGCCAACCCACCCCAGAAGAACAUGUACCCAAACAG